GCUUACGACCAUACCAACCUGGACAUGCCCGAUCUCGUCUUAUCUCGGAAGCUAAGCAGGUUUGGGCCUGGUUAGUACUUGGAUGGGAGACCGCCUUGAAAUACCAGGUGCUGUAAGCU
rnacentral:rRNA from 1 species